rnacentral:miRNA from 1 species
UACCUCAUUGACCAGAAGGAAUCCCAUCUGGUUGAUGAGGUUAUUAUACCUCAUUGACCGGAAGGAAUCCCUUCUGGCCAAUGAGGUU